AGCUUGGACAAGCCGAACCAAACACACACGAAGUCGGGCUCGUUGCUCAUCAGUAGGGCCACCGUCUCCCCGGCUCGCAACCCAGCCCGGGGCCGAGCGAAGACCUGGGCGACCUGGUCGCUCCUUCUAUCCACCUCCCGACCUCAAAACAUCAAAGAGCUCUCCAUUUUGCAAUCAAGUACCAAGAGAAGUAAAGGCUCCUGACCAAACAGAUGGAAGAAGUUGACUGAAAUAAAUUCCCCUGGAUUGGAGGAAAAUCCAUCAUGUAAAGAUGGGUAAGGUUAGAACAUUACAGAAGAAACAGGGAAGAUCAGAAGUGGUUUCCCGAAGUGAGCUGGGAACAUAGAAGGGCACGCAAGCCAAAUCCUGAUGGUCCACCACAGUUCUUCAA